rnacentral:rRNA from 1 species
GCUAAACAGCUAGCUUAUAUAAUUAAAUAACCAGAACAACAUUAAUAUUUUUAACAAGACUACAAUAACAAAACUAAAACAUUUUACCACCUAAGUAUGUGAGACAGAAAAGGCACAUCCUAAAGCUAUAGAGAAAGUACCGCAAGGGAAUGCUGAAAGAGAAAUGAAAUAAAUCAUAAAAGCAUAAAAAAGCAGAGAAUUUCCCUCAUACCUUUUGCAUCAUGAUUUAGCUAGUCCCCCUGAGCAAAGUGUACUUUAGUUCAGUCCCCCGAAACUAAGUGAGCUACCCCGAGACAGCCUAUAAAUUAGGGCCAACCCGUCUCUGUGGCAAAAGAGUGGGAAGAUCUCCAGGUAGAGGUGACAAACCUACCGAACUUAGUGAUAGCUGGUUGCCUAAGAAAUGAAUAGAAGUUCAGCCUUACACUCCUUAGCUCACCAAAUACUUAAAAAUAUGAGUCAAAGAAAUAUAAUAGAGUUAGUUAUAGGGGGUACAGCCCCUAUAAAACAGGAUACAACCUUACCAGGAGGCUAAAGAUCAUAAUAAUUAAGAUAAGCCGCCCUAGUGGGCCUAAAAGCAGCCACCUAAAUAGAAAGCGUUAAAGCUCUAGCGGAAUAAAAAUCUAUUAUUCAGAUAUACUAUCCAAAGCCCCUAAUUUUAUUAGGCUACUCCAUGCAAACAUGGAAGUAAUAAUGCUAAAAUGAGUAAUAAGAAGAAUUAUCCUCUUCUCCUGGCCUAAGUGUACACUAGAUCGGACCAUCCGCUAGCAACUAACGAACCCAACAAUAGAGGGUAAUGUAACUAUAUCAAAUAUCAAGAAAACAUUACAUAUCCUAAUCGUUAACCCCACACUGGAAGGCAAACAGGAAAGACUAAAAGAAAAGAAAGGAACUCGGCAAACACAAGCCUCGCCUGUUUACCAAAAACAUCGCCUCCUGCAAAAAUCAACGUAUAGGAGGUCUUGCCUGCCCAGUGACAAAUUUAAACGGCCGCGGUAUUUUGACCGUGCGAAGGUAGCGCAAUCACUUGUCUUUUAAAUGAAGACCUGUAUGAAUGGUGGAACGAGGGCUUAACUGUCUCCCUUUUCAAGUCAAUGAAAUUGAUCUCUCCGUGCAGAAGCGGACAUAAACCUACAAGACGAGAAGACCCUUUGGAGCUUAAGAUAUAAGAUCAACUAUGUCAAGAGCCUAAUAAAUAAGUCUAAACUAAAUAAAAUACUGAUCCUUAUCUUCGGUUGGGGCGACCGCGGGAGAAAAUAAAGCUCCCAUGCGGAAUGGGGUAUUCCCUAAAACCAAGAGAGACACCUCCAAGCAACAGAAAAUCUGACCAAAAGAUCCGACUAUACGGCCGAUCAACGAACCAAGUUACCCUAGGGAUAACAGCGCAAUCCCCUCCCAGAGUUCAUAUCGACAAGGGGGUUUACGACCUCGAUGUUGGAUCAGGACAUCCUAAUGGUGCAGCCGCUAUUAAGGGUUCGUUUGUUCAACGAU